GUUAUGGGGGUUCUAUGUGUUGAGAAGCUUGGUGACAUUGUUUAAUGAGUGAAAAGUGAACGUGAAGCGUUUUUGGGAUAUUAUUCAAUUCAAGUUUUUUCAAAUUACAGAAGACUGAGGAAGUAUAUUAUAAAUUGUUUUCUUGGUUUUCUAACUUUAUUUUUGUGUCCAGUAAAAGCAAGGCAAAUUUAAAUAAAUUGCCAAUUUAAAUAGCUAGCUAGCUACUGUACCAGCGCGAGUGUGCAGUUUUCUGCGCCAGAAUGGUAGAAUAGCCAACGCUGCUGGAAAUGUUGUAGACUUUUUGUCGAAGAACCCCUUUCAUUCUCUGGGGUAUACGGAAAAGGUGUGAAUUAAAAGCGAGGGUCGACCUCUGCCUGAGAUCAGUUUCAUGAAGAUGAACAAAAAGGUGAGGGCGUUCAAUACCAGCUGAUCAAAAGUUUAGAUUGUUAACAGGGAGCCUUUCAUCAAGCCGUCUGUAUUGCACACCUUGCCUGCGUUUUUGGGCAUGGGCAACUACAAGGAGCUUGCAGAGCUAAGUCUCCUCCUGUUCCCUGAUUAAGAGGUGAGGACUACUCCACUCCACUACCUUUGUCAACUUUCUCCUGACAUGAACUGAAGCCACAACGUCUCAUGUGCCCGCUCUUCCACUGGCAUAUUGAAUGCUUCCCCUCCAAGCACUUCAAAUCCUGUCCUGCACUGGUCAAGCCUCGGAUCACCUCAACUCAUGCCUCAUUACCUCAUUCAAUCACUGCUGUGAUCCCUUUCCAACACAGUUGCUGGUCUGGUGAGUGGAGGGAAGAUCUGCCUGAACCCUCACUCUGGCUGGGUGAAGAAACUUGCUCGCUUCGUCAUCGAGAGGCA